UCGGGGCACAGCUCAAGUUUUCCCUUUCCUCCACUUCCUUGGGACAAAACAGAAUGGAUCCCACCAAGGGUGCCAGACAAACAGGAACUGACAACCUAAUUCAGAAUGAAACUUCGGCUUUGCAACACAACAUGAAUUACAAUCAUGACUCUUCACUAUUUCUCUAAGUGAUAUAACUUCAACAAUGAUCCUGACCUCGAAAGGCCACUCUCAGGAAUACCUUACUUGAACAAAAUUGUUCAUUUGAGAGGCACCUUAGCAUAGAAAUGGAAUAAGAUUUCUCGGUCUCAGCAACUUUUUUAUUGGUGGCUUCUUCAGGAUCCGCAAUCAGGAGAUUCCAUCUAUUGGAAGAAACAUCAGAGAAAAGCUACUCUUGAACUUCAAUGCAAAGGACCUUACCAGGUACUCAGGACAAUUUUGGAACCAGACAACUGAGCUAAUAACACUGAACUAUGCAGAUGACCUUGGGGAAUGCACAGCUUCUGCCCAAGACACCAGAGAACCCUGACUAGUGUUCUUCUUUGAUUGACUAAUAAUCAUUAUUCUUGCCCUUUUUGAUAAACUCCUAGUUGUUGUCCACCAAUAGUGGUCUUUUACCACUUUUCCCCCUCUUCUAAUUAUCACUUACCCCCUCUUCUUCUAACAUAGGAUGACUUACUUACAUAGGUUAGCCUACCUACAGCCUCUUCCUGGCAUGA